rnacentral:lncRNA from 1 species
AGUAAGCAUAUCCUUCGAAACGUUGUGUUCCUCAUAAUAGAGAAGUUGACAUCCAUACAUUCUCUUCAUUUUCAGUAUCACUUCUAAAUGCCUUUCAAAGACUUGAAAUGAGAUAACAUUCGAGUUACAAUACACACAUGGACGAAAAAUCGUCGAGGGACAAAAAUACAAAGUGCUAUAGCUUGUUCUAGUUUUUAUCCUUUGAACUGAAAUCUUUCGCUGACUGAAAAUGUCCCUUCGUCACCUUAUCAUGUGACUGUGAAAAAACAAUUAAAGAAAAGGAUGUUCAGAGGAUCAUGCACGAUCUGUCAGUUCCGAAUUGUUUCUUGGGGUCUCGUGGCGCCUAUGCGAUUACCGUGGUGCCGCUGCGCCUAUCAGACAUCAGCCCCGUAUUUGAACUGAAAGUGGUUUCCGCGUCUCAUAUAUUUUUUAAACAUUUCUGUCACAAGACAUAUAUUUUGCCUAAAAUAUGGAUCAUCAAUAAGGUGAUAUGUCAGAGCUUUUGAAUGGACAUUGUGAUACAUAUUAACAAUUUGAAAGCGAAUCCUUUAAACAGUGUACCUGGAAUGCAUACUCGAAAAAAUGAGUGCUACGUCAAAAAAAAAAUACCCAUAGGACUGAAACAAUAGUACGAUUAGUACAUGUAGCAGGUUUACAUCUGAAAUAACUAGAUAUUGCUUCCGUGUUUGUUUGUUGUUUAAUAUUCAAGCUAUGUGAUGGCGAUCCUGAGUGUGUUGCUGAAGAUCAAUUCCUGUCAUAAAGACCUUGAAACAUAUACAUAUAUAUCCCAUAAGGACCACGCAAGUCUAUAUUAGUUGGCAAGUCUAGAUUACUGCAGUAUCUAAAAAUGAAGAGAGUAUCAGGGCUCCUUUUUAUUAUAUUUUUAUUAAGAUAAUAUGACAACGUUUUUUCUGUAAGAUAUGUUCAUUUCAGAGACUGAACCACUUCGAUUGCCAUACCAGUGUAAUCAAUAACUACUUUAUUAAAAUGUUGCAACUUUAUAUACAAUUUUCCCAUCGCUUAAAUUGUUAAAAAAAUGUUUUAUUAUUGUGAUAUUCUUGUAAAAUGAAGUCACAUCUCUGUCGUGAGGUAUUAAUGCUUUCCAGGACACGUAACAGAAGGCUUAGUACACGGAGUACUGCGACGUAGGCUCAUUCAUCAACUCUCCAGGACACGUAACAGAAGACUUAGUACACGGAGUACUGCGACGUAGGCUCAUUCAUCAACUCUCCAGGACACGUAAAGGAAGGCUUAGUACACGGAGUACUGCGACGUAGGCUCAUUCAUCAACUCUCCAGGACACGUAACAGAAGACUUAGUACACGGAGUACUGCGACGUAGGCUCAUUCAUCAACUCUCCAGGACACGUAAAGGAAGGCUUAGUACACGGAGUACUGCGACCCCCCAGAACGCCAGUGUUGUGCAGAAGCAGCUCGUGAAGACGGCCGAGGUCCAAGGGCCACCGCGUGCACCGACUCAAACUGUGUCAUGCACACGUGAUAGUCGGACACUAGCCUUGCUUGAAGGCUGUACUGACAGAAAAGUCCAUGGAUGUGUAGUGAUUCUUUCCUCCUAAUAGGCAAGUCUAGAUAUGUGGACAGUACAAGGACUCCAGUCUCUCAUGGGGACAACUUGUGGUUAUUAUUUUCAUAGUCUAGAAAAUAUGAUUAAAACUAAUAAUUAUUGCAUUAGAGACUUGUGGAAGGCUAGUCGCUCACACGUAAAGACAGUUUUGGGGAAAAUCUAUUACAAUGCGUAUUUGUUUACUUUGGUUUGUAUGAAGUUUGUCACACGUCACAUUAAAUGUUCUGUCUA